rnacentral:lncRNA from 1 species
AACAAUUAGACUUUAGAAAGACUUUGUGAGAUUGCCGAUGACAUUUUCAUAAUUUUAUUUAAAUUAAUAAUUUUGUUUUGUAAGGUCAUUUUUUGUGUUUUUUUUUAGAUUGAUUUUUUUUUUCAAUUUCAUAAUUCAACAAUAGGUUUAUUAAAAAUUGUGAUUUAUAAUUUGUUUUUAUUUGAGAUUAUUAUGGUCUCAUGAUCUGGGUCACGGAUUUAAAAGAUUAACCUAGAUUAACCUGGGUCGAUCCAAUAUGUUGUUGUCUCAAUAUUUUUAACAAACAUAAUUUUAAUUGACAUUUAAAAAUAAACUAACUUGAAAUUAUACAAUUUAAAUUUUAAUUAUAAGUAAAAAUAAAGAGUUAAAUUAAUAUGACCCAAUCGAUUUGAUGAGUCCAAAGUAUAUAUAGAACAAUCCAAAAUGACACGUCAAAAUACUCAAAAACCAAAAUAUAUUGUUACAAUUAAAAAAAUAAAACAUCAAUAAUGGAAUUGGCAACCUUGCUUGAUAGAAGCCUAAAAUCCUCGCUACCAUUUGCAAGAGAUAGUUAUACUAGUAGCAAUUUAGUAG